GAUGAACGCUGACAGAAUGCUUAACACAUGCAAGUCUACUUGAACUUCGGUUUGGGUGGCGGACGGGUGAGUAACGCGUAAAGAACUUGCCUCACAGUUAGGGACAACAUUUGGAAACGAAUGCUAAUACCUGAUAUUAUGAUUUUAGGGCAUCCUAAGAUUAUGAAAGCUAUAUGUGCUGUGAGAGAGCUUUGCGUCCCAUUAGCUAGUUGGAGAGGUAACGGCUCACCAAGGCGAUGAUGGGUAGCCGGCCUGAGAGGGUGAACGGCCACAAGGGGACUGAGACACGGCCCUUACUCCUACGGGAGGCAGCAGUGGGGAAUAUUGGACAAUGGACCAAAAGUCUGAUCCAGCAAUUCUGUGUGCACGAUGACGUUUUUC
rnacentral:rRNA from 1 species